rnacentral:rRNA from 1 species
UCCGUAGGCGGGCGUCUAAGUCAGUGGUGAAAUCUUACAGCUCAACUGUAAAAUUGCCAUUGACACUGGAUGUCUUGAAUUAGUGUGAAGUGGUUAGAAUGUGUAGUGUAGCGGUGAAAUGCAUAGAUAUUACACAGUAUACCAAUUGCGAAGGCAGAUCACUAACACUAUAUUGACGCUGAGGGACGAAAGCGUGGGGAGCGAACAGGAUUAGAUACCCUGGUAGUCC